CUGAACUCCAGGUAGCAUGAGGAGGAGGAGUCAGAAUUAGUGAAGGAGCCGCUGGAGAGACACAGCAUGUCUUUGCACCAUUGUCCCUAAUGAGAAAAGAGUUUCCGUGAAGAGCUGGUGAUCUAUGAUGUCAAAUGUUUCAGAGGCUCCAAGAUAAUCAGUGAACAAGAUGAACUUGGUAAUUUGGAGGUAAUUGGUGACUUGGUGAGAUGCACAGGAACAAAUGGGAUAGAAAUGUCAUUUCUUUGAAAAUUUCAGAUGACCGCGUUGUGCCAAACUCAUACGAACCAUUUCUGAAAUCCAUGUGAAAAGAAACAGUAGCGAAAUUGCUUAUCCAGAAUGUAAGAAGAUUGCAG
rnacentral:lncRNA from 1 species